rnacentral:rRNA from 1 species
AACGAACGCUGGCGGCGUGCCUAACACAUGCAAGUCGAACGAGAAAGGGGCUUCGGCUCCGAGUAAAGUGGCGCACGGGUGAGUAGCACGUGGGUAACCUGCCUCUAAGAUUGGGAUAACUCGUCGAAAGAUGAGCUAAUACCGAAUAAGACCACAGUUCCCGCGGGAACAGGGGUCAAAGGUAGCCUCUGCUUGCAAGCUAUCACUUAGAGAUGGGCCUGCGCACCAUUAGCUAGUUGGUAGGGUAACGGCCUACCAAGGCAAAGAUGGUUAGCUGGUCUGAGAGGAUGAUCAGCCACACUGGAACUGAGACACGGUCCAGACUCCUACGGGAGGCAGCAGUGGGGAAUAUUGCGCAAUGGGCGAAAGCUUGACGCAGCAACGCCGCGUGAGUGAUGAAGGCCUUCGGGUCGUAAAGCUCUGUCGGGAGGAACGAAUGCUCCUGAGGUUAACAGCCUCGGGAGGUGACGGUACCUUCAAAGGAAGCACCGGCUAACUCUGUG